UCCCUGGUGGUCUAGUGGUUAGGACUUGGCAUUUUCACUGCUGAGGUAGGGGUUCAAUCCCUGGUCUGGGAA
rfam:Sus scrofa chromosome 8.